rnacentral:misc_RNA from 1 species
GGAAGUAAAAGCCGUAACAAGGUUUCCGUGGGUGAACCUGCGGAAGGAUCAUUAAUGAAUUUGAAAGGAGUUGUUGCUGGCUUGUAAACCCAAGCAUGUGCACACUCCAGUCUCAUCCAUCUUACACCUGUGCACCCUUGCGUGGGUCCGUCGGCUUUGCGGUCGUUCGGGCUUGCGUUUUUCUAUAAACUCUUAUGUAUGUAACAGAAUGUCUUAAUGCUAUAAACGCAUCUUAUACAACUUUCAACAACGGAUCUCUUGGCUCUC